ACAAUCACACCACGUUGAAACAGCCGUUCCCGUACGAUCACCGCAUUUAAGCAACCUCGAGCCUGGUCAUUACCUACAUGGGUGACCGCUUGGAAAUACCAGGUUCUGUAAG